rnacentral:rRNA from 1 species
CAGCAGCCGCGGUAAUACGAAGGGGGCUAGCGUUGUUCGGAUUUACUGGGCGUAAAGGGUGCGUAGGCGGAUUGUUAAGUCAGGGGUGAAAUCCCGAGGCUCAACCUCGGAACUGCCUUUGAUACUGGCGAUCUUGAGUCCGGGAGAGGUGAGUGGAACUGCGAGUGUAGAGGUGAAAUUCGUAGAGAUGUGGAGGAACACCAGUGGCGAAGGCGACUCUCUGGUCUGUAACUGACGCUGAGGAGCGAAAGCGUGGGGAGCGAACAGGAUUAGAUACCCCUGUAGUCCCUGUCUCUUAACA